GGGGAUGACCGGUUUUGACAGCAGGUAGAGUCUGAUUGUAAGCACGUCGAGCGUUGUGUGGUGGCUCGUAAAUCUCAACACUCGAAAAUCAAAUGGCAAUAAUAGCUACGCACUCGCUGCCUAAUUUUACCAGGUAAAAUGGCUUAAUUCCUGAGCCCAAGGAGGUUCGGGAACGAGUACCUCUCCGUCGGCUCCCGCCUUUCGAGCUUUCGGUAACGAGGUAUCAUCUUUGAAAGGAUAGUCUUGCGGCCGCCCCGUCCGCAAGGCGAAACUCAAGGGGCUGGGUUCUCCGUUAGGCUGCCGCCUGCCGGGCGGAGAAAGAAGGACCAAACGGUCGGCUAAACGUGUAGAAAGCUUUUGGGUUCCUUGUUUGGACGAGGGUUCGACUCCCUCCAUCUCCACAU
rnacentral:tmRNA from 1 species